GUGCAGCAGCCGCGGUAAUACGGAGGGGGUGAGCGUUGCUCGGAAUCACUGGGCGUAAAGCGUACGCAGGCGGCUUGUUAAGUCGGGUGUGAAAGCCCGGAGCUCAACUCCGGAACUGCGCCCGAUACUGGCAAGCUUGAAUACGGAAGAGGGAAGCGGAAUUCCGGGUGUAGAGGUGAAAUUCGUAGAUAUCCGGAGGAACACCAGUGGCGAAAGCGGCUUCCUGGUCCGAUAUUGACGCUCAGGUACGAAAGCGUGGGGAGCAUACAGGAUUAGAUA
rnacentral:rRNA from 1 species